CCCAGCUGCUAGCACAGUGCUGCACGCACAAUUGGUGCCCUACACAUACCAGGAAGAGAGAGAGUGCUGCUGGUGGGUCGCCGUGGAUUACUAUGCCUGGAUCCUGGGGGUCCACGCCACCUUUAAGAGCUGUAACACUCACCAUGAAGGUGUGCAGCUUUAUUCUUGAAGUCAGCAAGACCAAGAACCCACCGGAAGAAACCAACUCCUGACAUAGUAGGAAAUGGAAGCCAUGCACACCCCUUUCCCAUGGGGAAGCAGAAGGAAUCCUCCACCCCUGCUGUGUCUCAGCAAACCACAGAGGUGCCAGGUGGCCACUCCUCCACCACCUCUGUGUGAGAGAAGCCACUUCAGAUCCACACUCAAUGGUGAGAACCAAAAUAAACAAAUUGAUCGGAACUACAGGACUCUACUUCAUUUCUUUUCCUAGAAAGGAUU
rnacentral:lncRNA from 10 species